rnacentral:rRNA from 1 species
UACGUAGGGGGCAAGCGUUGUCCGGAUUUAUUGGGCGUAAAGAGCGUGUAGGCGGUUUGGUAGGUCCGCUGUGAAAACUCGAGGCUCAACCUCGAGACGCCGGUGGAAACCAUCAGACUAGAGUCCGGAAGAGGAGAGUGGAAUUCCUGGUGUAGCGGUGAAAUGCGCAGAUAUCAGGAAGAACACCCGUGGCGAAGGCGGCUCACUGGGUCAUAACUGACGCUCAGGCGCGACAGCGUGGGGAGCAAACAGG